rnacentral:tRNA from 1 species
UGGCUCGCUUGGUUAGAGCAUGGCACAUGCAAUGCCAAGGUUGUGGGUUCAAUUCCCGU